GAAGAUUUGAUUAUGGGCUCAGAUUGAACGGCUGGCGGCAGGCCUAACCACAUGCAAGUCGAGGCGGUAACACAGAGGAGCUUGCUCCCUGGGGUGACGAGCGGCGGAACGGGGUGAGUAAUGCCCUGGGGGAUCUGCCCGAUAGAGGGGGGAUAACUACGGGAAACUGUAGCUAAUACCGCAUAAUGUCUACGGACCAAAGUGGGGGCUCUUCGGACCUCAUGCUAUCGGAUGAACCCAGGUGGGAUUAGCUAGUUGGUGAGGUAAUGGCUCACCAAGGCGACGAUCUCUAACUGGUUUGAGAGAAUGACCAGUCACACUGGAACUGAGACACGGUCCAGACUCCUACGGGAGGCAGCAGUGGGGAAUAUUGCACAAUGGGCGCAAGCCUGAUGCAGCCAUGCCGCGUGUGUGAAGAAGGCCUUCGGGUUGUAAAGCACUUUCAGCGGGGAGGAAGGGUCACUAGUUAAUACCUAGUGGCAUUGACGUUACUCGCAGAAGAAGCACCGGCUAACUCCGUGCCAGCAGCCGCGGUAAUACGGAGGGUGCAAGCGUUAAUCGGAAUUACUGGGCGUAAAGCGCACGCAGGCGGUUUGUUAAGUCAGAUGUGAAAUCCCCGAGCUCAACUUGGGAACUGCAUUUGAAACUGGCAAGCUAGAGUCUUGUAGAGGGGGGUAGAAUUCCAGGUGUAGCGGUGAAAUGCGUAGAGAUCUG
rnacentral:rRNA from 1 species